rnacentral:tRNA from 1 species
CAGAGUAUGGCUUAACCAGAAAAGCAUCUCACUUACGUUGAGAAGACAUUCGUGCAAAUCGAAUUAUUCUGC